rnacentral:rRNA from 1 species
GAUGAACUCUGGCGGCGUGCCUAAUACAUGCAAGUCGAGCGAAGCGGGGACGGGUGAGUAACACGUGGAUAACCUCCUAUAAGACUGGGAUAACUUCGGGACACCGGGACUCAACCGGAUACUUAUAUGUUGAACCGAGCGGCAUUAGCUCGUUGGUAACGUAACGGCUUACCAAGGCAACGAUGCAUAGCCUACCUGAACGUGUGAUCUGCAACACUGGAAAUGAGGCACGGGCCGGACUCCUACGGGAGGCAGCAGUAGGGAAUCUUCCGCAAUGGGCGAAAGCCGGACGGAGCAACGCCGCGUGAGUGAUGAAGGUCUUCGGAUCUUAAAACUCGGUUAUUAGGGAAGCGGUACCUACUCAGAAAGCCACGGCUAACUCCGUGCCAGCAGCCGCGGUAAUAC